rnacentral:rRNA from 1 species
AUUGAACGCUGGCGGCAGGCCUAACACAUGCAAGUCGAACGGUAACAGGAAGCAGCUUGCUGCUUCGCUGACGAGUGGCGGACGGGUGAGUAAUGUCUGGGAAGCUGCCUGAUGGAGGGGGAUAACUACUGGAAACGGUAGCUAAUACCGCAUAAUGUCGCAAGACCAAAGAGGGGGACCUUCGGGCCUCUUGCCAUCGGAUGUGCCCAGAUGGGAUUAGCUUGUUGGUGGGGUAACGGCUCACCAAGGCGACGAUCCCUAGCUGGUCUGAGAGGAUGACCAGCCACACUGGAACGGAGACACGGUCCAGACCCCUACGGGAGGCAGCAGUGGGGAAUAUUGCACAAUGGGCGCAAGCCUGAUGCAGCCAUGCCGAGUGUAUGAAGAAGGCCUUCGGUUUGUAAAGUACUUUCAGCGGGGAGGAAGGGAGUAAUGUUAAUACCUUUGCUCAUUGACGUUACCCGCAGAAGAAGCACCGGCUAACUCCGUG